rnacentral:tRNA from 2 species
CGAGGUGUAGCGCAGUUGGCUAGCGCGCCUGCUUUGGGAGCAGGAUGUCGGGGGUUCAAGUCCCUUCACCUCGACCA